AAUCUACAAGCUGCACGCAGUCAUCCAGUGAUUGAGAGGAGAGAGGAGGCUUUCAACAAACGAUAUAUCAUGAAGAGAUAUGUGAAAAACACCUUGAGGAUUGAUUCUAAACAACGUUUACCAUGUUUCAGUCGAUAUUAUGGAGUUAAUUUGGAAAAAGGUUCGGCGUUUUGAAGACUGAAUUUUCAUUUUUUUUUGGUAGCCAAACGUGACGCACCAAACGGAGCAAUUUCUCCUAAACAAAUAAUCUUUCAGGAAAAACUGAGCAUUUGCUAUCUAACUGAGUCUCCUCAUUGAAAACAUCUGAAGUUCUUCAAAGGAAAAACUGAGCAUUUGCUAUCUAACUGAGUCUCCUCAUUGAAAACAUCUGAAGUUCUUCAAAGGACCUGAGCCCUAAGACCAUGCCUCAGGACUACCUGGCAUGAUGACUCCUUGCUGUCCCCAGUCCACCUGGCCGUGCUGCUGCUCCAGUUUCAACUGUUCUGCCUGCGGCUAUGGAACCCUGACGUUGUUCACCGGAUGUGCUACCUGUCCCAGACCUGCGGUUUUCAACUCUCUAGAGACAGCAGGAAUGGUAGAGAUACUCUUGAUGAUCGGCUAUGAAAAGCCAACUGACAUUUACUCCUGAGGUGCUGACUUGCUGCACCCUCGACAACUACUUUGAUGAUUAUUAUUUGACCAUGCUGGUCAUUUAUGAACAUUUGAACAUCUUGGCCAUGUUUUGUUAUAAUCUCCACCCGGCACAGCCAGAAGAGGACUGGCCACCCCUCAUAGCCUGGUUCCUCUCUAGGUUUCAUCCUAGGUUUUGGCCUUUCUAGGGAGUUUUUCCUACACACCGUGCUUAUACACCUGCAUUGCUUGCUGUUUGGGGUUUUAGGCUGGGUUUCUGUACAGCACUUUGAGAUAUCAGCUGAUGUAUGAAGGGCUAUAUAAAUACAUUUGAUUUGAUUUGAUAUUCUAUGUUUUAUUAUUCCUGGUAUAUACUACUGGUUAUGAUUACAGACAGAGCCCAGAGAAUAGGAUGGUGCAAUAUUGUCCACUCACCCAGAGAUAUGCCCAUGCUGUAGAGAUACACCUAGUGGACUGAAACUUCACUGUUGUAGGCAUAAUAAAGCUAGUGCUAUCUAGACUUGUGCUGGUAAACACAUCCAUUACAUUAGCUACUUAAAUGUGAACUAAACUUAAUUGAGGAGUAAUAGAGAAUGAAGACUUUUAACUUGAAAACGUGCAGGAUACCUCUUUCCGUUUUCCCUGACUGUUCAGGUCCCACUCCUCACAGGCCGUUUGGUGUAAGUUUUUUUUGUUGGUGAGAUUUUUUGUUCAAGCCUAAAAUGUUAGUCCGUAAUCGUAACAUGGUGUAUGGGGAAAUAUGGAUACCUAGUCAGUUGUACAACUGAAUGCCUUCAACUGAAAUGUGUCUUCCGCAUUUAACCCAACCCCUCUGAAGGUGUGGGGGCUGCCUUAAUCGACAUCCACGUCUUCGAUGGCCAGGUAACAGUGGGUUAACUGCCUUGCUCGGGCAGAACGACAGAUUUUUACCUUGUCAGCUCUGGGAUUCGAUCCAGCCACCUUUCGGUUAUUGGCCCAACGCUCUAUGUUCACAGAUGAAAUUCAACGUUUAUGUUCAUGUUUAAUGCAUGGCUUUUCUUACGAUCCUAAUAAUUUACGUAUGGAUUGUCUUGGGAUCCUAACGAUACCUACGUUCAACCUUUUGGCAGGUAUCUGGCUCCAUACAUAACCUCUGUAUCAGGUGGUGUGAAAUGAAGGCCCCGAAAAUCGUUAAAGACUCCAGCCACCCAGACCAUAGACUGUUUUCACUGCUACUGCACGGCAAGCAGUACAGGUGCAUCAAGUCUUACACCAACAGGCUCCUGAACAGAUUCCAUCCCCAAGCGAUAAGACUGCUAAAAAUAGGUAACUAAAUAGCUAACAAAAAUGGCUACACGGGCUAUCUGAGUUGACCUUUGUAUUACAUUUUUUGCACACUCACAGGACCCUACACACUCACGCACACUGAUUCUACAACACAAACACUCACUCCAUCACUUACUCACACACACAUGCACAUACACUUACAGUAUAUUGACUCUACACACACGCACACCCACUCACAGACACUCAUCUUAUACGCUGCUGCUAACCUGUUUAUCAUAUAUCCUGAGGCAUAGUCACCUUUUCCUUUACAUAUCUACCUCUGUCACUCCAGUAUCCCUGAACAAUAAGGUACUGGAACUGUCUGACUCUGUAUACAGUGCAUUCGGAAGGUAUUCAGACCACUUUACUUUUUCCAAAUUUUAUUACGUUACAGCAUUAUUCAAUAUUUAUUAAAUUGUUUCUUUGUUUCCCCACAUCAGUCUACACACAAUACCCCAUAAUGACAAAGCAAAAACAGAUUUUUUAGAAAUGUUUGCACAUUUUUACAAAUAAACUGAAAUAUGACAUUUUCAUAUUCAGACCCUUUACUCAGUACUUUGUUGAAGCACCUUUGGCAGUGAUUACAGCCUCAAGUCUUCUUGGGUAUGAUGCUACAAGCUUGGCACACCUGCAUUUGGAGAGUUUCUUCCAUUUUUCUGCCAGGUCUCGCUUGGCAUUCAGGCCAAAGAGUUCAAUCUUGUUUUCAUCAGACCAGAGAAUCGUGUUUCUCAUGAUCUGAGAGUCGUUUAGGUGCCUUUUGGCAAACUCCAAGCGGGCUGCCUUUUACUGAGC
ensembl:lncRNA